rnacentral:rRNA from 1 species
GACGAACGCUGGCGGCGUGCUUAACACAUGCAAGUCGAAUGAUGAAGCCGGAGCUUGCUCUGGUGAAUUAGUGGCGAACGGGUGAGUAACACGUGAGUAACCUGCCCUUGACUCUGGGAUAACUGCGGGAAACUGUAGCUAAUACCGGAUACGACCCUCGGAGGCAUCUCCUGGAGGUGGAAAGAAUUUCGGUCAAGGAUGGACUCGCGGCCUAUCAGCUAGUUGGUGAGGUAAAGGCUCACCAAGGCGACGACGGGUAGCCGGCCUGAGAGGGUGACCGGCCACACUGGGACUGAGACACGGCCCAGACUCCGACGGGAGGCAGCAGUGGGGAAUAUUGCACAAUGGGCGCAAGCCUGAUGCAGCAACGCCGCGUGAGGGACGACGGCCUUCGGGUUGUAAACCUCUUUUAGCAGGGAAGAAGCGAAAGUGACGGUACCUGCAGAAAAAGCACCGGCUAACUACGUGCCAGCCGCCGCCGUAA